rnacentral:lncRNA from 1 species
CUGAUUGCCACCCAGGACUGAUGGAUCCUUCCAUACCGCUGGACCAGGGGCCUGGACACACUGACUGCUCCUUUGAUCCCACAAGAAUUUAUGUGAGCUUAUUCUUGCUAUUGGAGAAACUCUGGUCCUCACCUUUGCUCCAAGGCCUAGUCCUCUUUGUUACUUUGGGUUUUAGGAUACAGCUUUGGCUCUCUGGAUCCCUUCUCUGUUCAUGUCUGCAGCUGAGGCUGCUCUUUCUGGUUACUGUUGUGUGGCUGCACUCACGCUACGGGGAAUUGGGCCCUGCAGGAAGGAAGGGUUGCAGGAACAGCUGCAGGAACUGACAGAGCUUGAACUUCCCGAGUGUAAAAGGCAGGAGAACGUGCAGCUGCUCCAUGGCCGUCAGGACUUCCAGGCCUUACAGAAGACCUGGGUUUAGGCAGGUGUUCUUCUGAGGCGCAGUCCACAGGUGUUUUCUACUACGCACGGGGGCCCUGACCCUAGGGUGGUAUAAAUAAUUGUAAUAAAAGAACUUGUAUUUUG